rnacentral:lncRNA from 1 species
CAAAACCAUACGUGGAGCUUGCUUGUGUUUCAAUACAAGCUCUUGCCUCAGUCCUCUCCAGAUUGCUAAAAGGAGGUGUAUAACCCUGCUCUUCAGCAGAAAGACCGCAGGUAUUCCCGCCGCAUCCACAUAUGCACACUUACUUCCCUUGGAUGUGUGGCAACGAGCUCUGCUGCUGCAAGUGUUAUAUGCCAUCCGCAAACCCACAUGGGUGCAGGGUGCACACCUGAACAGGGGGUAGCCUCUGAUGAAACAUUUGAGUAAUGGAUUUCUUUACCUCACCUAAACAGAUCCACUGAAAAGGAAACUUUUUGGGUUCCCACCCACACGCAAGAUGUACAAAGCUGUCUGGGGCAGGUCUGGUACAGACUAGCCAGUGCCCUCCACUGGAAUAAGUGGUUAAUCUCAAAGAGGUUUACGGUGGUUUCUCCACAUAUCUUCACCCUUCAAGCCUUUCCAUAAAAGUCACCAGCACCCUGUCUCUGGGAUGUGGAAGGUUGGGAGAAAGGAAUCAACAAAAUGAAAGUAACAGUAUCAAGAUCCAGACUUAUUCACAAAUUUUGCCUCUUAAAUAAACAUAAUCUUUAAUUAAGUAAACUUUAAUAUUUAUUUUGUACCUAUCAUGCACUAGGUAUAUACAUAUAGUUGGGGGGGGGGCAUAAGGACAUAAUAGGACUAAAAAAGAUAAAAGAUAUGUUCGUUGCCCUUGAAGAAUUAUAGUCUCUUACUGAGGACUUCAUAUACAUGCACAUUGACUAGAGAGGCAGUGUAAAUAACUGAAAAGAAAGUGGGAAGAGUUUUGGCUGGUGCAAUCAGACAGUGCUUCUUGAAAAUGGAACUUGAAUUGGUCCUUAUGGGCAGAGGUAGCCUACUUGCCCAGCUGGAGAAGAGAAGGUAAUCUACCACGUGGAAGGAAGGACAUGAACAAAAAAAUGAAAGCAGGAAGGAACAUGCUGGUUUGGGCAGAAUAAAAAAUCCCUAGAUUUUUUUGGAAGUUUCUCGUCUAACCUCCUGCCUAAACCAUCUAUAAUACAUUCUGUCCCCAAGAAAAUGCUCUACUGCCAACUAAGCCCAUGUGAUUCUCCUAGAGAUGCAUGAGUCCUUAAUGAAAGCUGCCCUCACUAUUCUUGAAAAAGCCACUUGCAUUUAUAGAUAACAGAGGGUAAACUUUAAACACAACUGCAUAAAGUGGCAAGGAACUGGCCUGCCGUCAGCUCACUGAAUUUGGAUUCCAUGCAAGCAGGAUGUGUAAAGGAGGUAAACUCCAAAAGUGUUUUUCCUCCCUUAAUAAGGUCUAUUCUUCUUGGUGUCAAGGUAUGAAAAGCAGUAUUUCAUAUCAACGUUCAUGGUUAAUCUUUUUGAUAGUUACAGGAGCAGGAUGAUUCUUCACCCAGGGGCACGGGCAAAAGGGCUGAUUACCUAUGCUCACAAGUCACCAAAUCCAGUUCAACACAGUAUAAACAAGCCAUUGCUUCUGUCGACAUUUGAGUCCUUUUGUCUGCAAUCAGGGAGUUCUGUGUUUAUCUAGCUACAUCUUUACUCUCAUGGGUUAAUCAAAGUUUCUGGAAGUAAUCACAGCCAACUCUUCUUUGCUUAUAACAGGGUGCAGCAGUAACAUGGAACAUAAGGUGGGAAAAAAGACAAAAGUGUGGAUGAUUCAUACAUUAUUCACAAACUUACCUUCUUAAUCACUACAACACUUUAAUAUUAAAAUUAGCUUACACUUCCUAAACAAACACUGACUGGUGACAAAGGGAUUGGGUUAAAAGGAGCAGAUAAUGUCACUUCAAGAAAUGUUUUCUAAGUUUGGAUCUUGAUUACUGUUACCUUCGUUUUGUUUUUUUAAUUCUCCCCUCCUAAGCUUCCACAUCCCAGAGAUGGUGUGCUGGGGGCUUUCACGGAAGCGCUUGCAGGUAAGGCUUGGAGAAGUGAAGACAGGUGGAAAAACCAGGUUUCAUCAAGCUGUUGAAGAGACAUCAAAGCCAGGAGUAAUUCUCUGCAUCCUGUCACAUGCUUGUUUCUGCCUCCAAGAAAGCAGAGUUAAAAUGGACUUUCAGACCAGAGACAGGUGAGGAUGACAGGGAGGCAGUGCAAAGGCUCCGCAAGUCUGAAAAUAGCAUAGUGUGUCUGCCAAGGUCUGCGGGUGCCCAAAUUUCCCCCACCGCUUCACGGUGGCCUUGGCUUUACACACUGUUGCUACCAAGUCACAGAAGGAAAAAGAUUCUGAUGAUUUUCACUUGUUUCACGCUUGACAAUUAAAACAUUCUUCUGGAUUUCCUUUUUUUUUUUCUCUCUUAAACCAGUCAAUGUUGUCUUUGUGUAAUAAGAAAUAUCAGGUAAGUCUUAGGAUGUGGACAUCAUGUUUGGGGCAAUGUCUCCCUCACCGCCUCUCUCAUCCUUUAUACCAUAAAAGAGUGAUGGCAAUAUGCUAGCUGAAAUUCACCCUUCGAUGGUUUCAUUUUCUUGUCUACAAAGGCAGGGUGAGCGACUGCUGCCCUGUGAUUUCUGGCACUCCCAGUGGAAAGGAAGCAGAGGGGCCAAGUUAUGGCAGAGUGCGCCCAGUUAGGCCUUCGACUACAAAAGUAUCAUGGUUUCCCUUCCUCCCCAGUUACCAUUCUUUCCCUGGUUCCCAUCCCCUUCCACAUCCAGCAGUGUGGGCUAACCUUCCUUUCCUCAUCCUGGGAAAACACAUCUUGCUCCAGUGCAAAGUUAGAUUGGACAAACAGCCGGUGUGGAGGGGGCUGUGGGAGGUACGGCUUGCCAGGACAACUUGGCUGAAUGGGUUCCUGAAACAAGGCAUCUCCAAAUGCUCCCUGCCCCUCAAACAGCAGAGGAGUGUGAUAAUCAUGCUGUCAACAUUUUUAGAGCAUAGCACUUACACUUUUACUAGGCCUCACUCCGGACCUAUUGAAUCAAAAUUUGCAUUUUAACCCGAUCCCACGUGAAUCACACACACAUUAAAAUUUGGUAAGCAGUAUUCUAACUCACUAGACCGCAGGUCCACAAACUGACUCAUGGGACAAACCCGGCCAGCUGCCUAUUUUUGUAAAUCAAGUUUUAUUGGAACACAGCCACACUUGUUUAUGAAUUGUCUACAACUGUUUUUACGCUACAGUGGAAAAGCUGAGUAGUUACAACAGAGACCAUACUGCUGCAAAACCUAGUAUUUAGUCUCCAGACCUUUACAGAGAAAGUUUGCUGGCUCCUAUACUAGACUGUAGACUCCUUAAAAGUGAGAACCUGAUCUUGUUCUGCUUUGUAAGGUAGAAGGGCAGUUUAGUAUAGUGGAUAUACUACGUAGACUCAGAGGCAGAUUGACAUGGUUUGUAUCUAGGCUCUGCCACUCCCUUGCAAAUGACUGUGGGUAAGACAUAACCACUCUGUGCCUCAUGUUCCCCACCUAGAAAAUGGGGAUAUAUUAGAUUGGUGCAAAAGUAAUUGCAUUAAAAUGGCAAAACUCCAAUUACUUUUGCACCAACCCACUACAUCAGAACCUACCUUUAAGGGUUGAUUUGUGGGUUAAAUAAGUGAAGAUAUGUAAAGACUUUAAGUAAUGCUCUCAGAAGAUGUUAACUAUUAGCUGGUACCAGGCAUUUUGGGAGUAGAUAGGGGAUCUGCUGAAUGUUGGCAGAAUGACCCAUCCCUAGAGCAGACAUUGUCUAUCAAUACCCAUUCUCUGCUUCUUCCUUGCUAACAUCAAUUAUUUCUGUAGAUAUCUGACCUUCAUGGAAGAUGACCUCAUCUCUGGGGGAAAAUACUAUUGAAAGCCAAUCACAAUGCCAUUCUCAGUGUCAGUGGAUUGGCAUGAGGACCUAACAACUGGUGUUGUGUGCUAUGAGCAAAGGAAGAGCAGUAGCUGGAAAUGAAUAACCUGGGUAGGACACAGGAAGACUCAAAAAUGUUCUAGGCUAUGCAAAUCAAAACCAUGAGAUAGUAAUAUCACCUAAUACCUUUUAAGAUGCCAUUAUGAAAAAACAAAACAUUACAAGUGUUGGAGAGGAUGUGGAGAAACUGGAACCCUUGUACAUUGUUGGUGGGAAUGUAAAAUGGUCUAGUCACUAUGGAAAACAGUAUGAAGGUCUUCAAAGAAUUAAAAACAGAACAAUAUAUGAUCCAGCAAUCCUACUUCUGGGUAUUUAUCUAAAAUAAUUAAAAGCAGGGCCUCGAAGAAACAGUCACACUCCCAUGUUCACUGCAGCAUUGUUUUCAACAAUCAAGGCGCGGAGCCAACCUAAAUGUCCCUCAAUGAAUGAACAAAGAAAAUGUGGCAUAGCCAUACAAUGGAAUGUUUUCAGCCUUAAAAAGAAAAUUCUGUCACAUGCUGUAACGUGGAUGAACCUGGAGGACAUUAUGCUAAGUGAAAUAAGCCAGUCAAAGGACAAACACUGCAUGAUUCCACUUAUAUGAGGCGUUCAAAGUAGUCAAACUCACAGAAGCAGAAAGUAGAACAGUGAUUGCCAGAGGCUGGUGGGAGGGGAAACGAGGAGUGGCUGUUCAAUGGGUAUAAACUUUUGGUUAUGCAAGAUGAAAAACUUGUAGCAGUCUGCUACAAAGCACUGUGCUGCUUCUAGUUAAUAAUGUACCGUCUCAAAAUAAAUAAAUAAUGUACUGUACACUUAAGAGGGUA